rnacentral:sRNA from 12 species
UUGGGUCAAAUACAGUAGCUCGCAUGAGAGUGAACCACGACCUUUACGAAAGGAGAAAUGUUUCCCGUGACUACGUCCGAAACUGCCCUUUGAUGCUUCUGCACGAACGCCGCCGGUAAACCGAGCGUGCAUGGCGAGGGAUAUGUCUCAACUCGUUUCAUGUGUAUCCAGCAAAGCAGAUUAGACGACAUCCAACAAGACAUCUGUACGGAGGGCGAAAAAUUAUUUUUUAUGAG